GGUUGCCUGACCUUAGUGUAAAGUGCCCAGUGCGAAAAUAUAAGUGAAAAAGUGACAGGAGAACCCGACGCGCGUUUCGGAGCUUAGGACAUGCACCUUCGUCAGGGGCUAGAGUUGAAAAGUUCCCGAGAGUCUUGUUUUUAUAUCCUAUGGUUAAACCGGUAUAAUAAUUGCUGAGCCAAUCAAAAGUCUAAUCCUGUCCGUUAUUUUAGCGCCAAAAUGAGUGGGC